AUGGCGCCGCCCGCCGCUCUCGCCCGGGUCAUAUCCUGCCUCCUCCCCCCGCCCCUCCGCCCCCCUCCCAUGCUCUCCACGCGUCUCCUCCGCCUCCGCCACCGCCCCAGCUCCUGCUCCUCGCCCCUCCGCUUCAUCGCCGCCGCCGCCAUGUCGUCGUCGUCCUCCUCCUCCACCGCCGCGCCCGGCGGCGGCCGGAAGCCGAACCGCCUAGCCGCCGAGCACAGCCCCUACCUGCUGCAGCACGCGCACAACCCGGUUGACUGGUAUCCUUGGGGAGAUGAGGCUUUCGAGAAGGCUCGCAAAUUGGACAUCCCCAUCUUUCUGUCAAUUGGCUAUAGUACAUGCCAUUGGUGUCAUGUAAUGGAGGUGGAGUCUUUUGAGAAUGAAGAAGUUGCUAAGAUUCUAAAUGAUUGGUUUGUUAGCAUCAAGGUGGAUCGUGAAGAGCGGCCAGAUGUUGACAAGGUUUAUAUGACAUAUGUGUCAGCGCUGUACGGCGGUGGUGGUUGGCCUUUGACCGUCUUUUUAUCACCUAACUUAAAGCCUUUGAUGGGCGGUACAUACUUUCCACCAGAUGAUAAGUAUGGAAGACCUGGGUUCAAGACUAUUUUAAGAAAGGUCAAGGAAGCCUGGGAUACUAAACGUGAUGCGCUUGAGAAGUCAGGAAAUGUGGUCAUCGAGCAACUUAGAGAUGCAUUAUCUGCCAAGGCUAGCUCUCAAGAUGUGCCAAAUGAUGUGGCUGUUCUUUAUAUAGAUCAAUGUGUUGAAAAGUUAGCAAGCAGUUAUGACCCAAAGUUUGGUGGAUUUGGCUCUGCUCCCAAGUUUCCAAGACCUGUUGAAGAUUGCAUAAUGCUCUAUAAAUUCCGGAAACACAUGGAAGCUAGGCAGGAGAGUGAAGCCCAAAACAUAAUGAAGAUGGUAACUCAUACACUGCAAUGUAUGGCUAGAGGUGGAGUUCAUGACCAUGUUGGGGGUGGCUUUCAUAGAUAUAGUGUGGACGAGUGCUGGCAUGUUCCACAUUUUGAGAAGAUGCUGUACGACCAGGGACAGAUAGCCAAUGUAUACUUGGAUACAUAUGUUAUCACAGGAGAUGAGUAUUAUUCUUCAGUUGCACGUGAUAUACUUGAUUACUUGAGGAGAGACAUGAUUGGAGAAGAUGGUGAAAUUUUCUCAGCAGAAGAUGCUGACAGUGCAGAAUAUGAAGGUGCUCCAAGAAAAAAAGAGGGUUCUUUCUAUGUGUGGACAAGUCAAGAGAUCGAAGACACACUUGGGGAGAACGCGGAGCUGUUCAAGAACCACUACUAUGUUAAAUCUUCUGGCAACUGUGACCUUUCGGGGAUGAGUGAUCCUCACAACGAGUUCAGUGGUAAAAAUGUGUUAAUAGAAAGAAGACCGGGUUCAUUGAUGGCAUCGAAGUAUGGCAAGUCUGUUGAUGAAUAUUAUGGAAUCCUGGGGGAAUGCAGACAGAAGUUGUUUGAUGUCCGAUCAAAAAGGCCAAGACCACAUUUGGACGACAAGGUUAUUGUUUCAUGGAAUGGAUUAGCAAUAUCUGCCUUUGCAAGAGCUUCACAAAUUUUGAAGUCAGGACCACCUGGAACCAAAUUUUAUUUCCCUGUAGCAGGAUGCGACCCAGUAGAAUAUCUUCAAGUUGCAGAAAAGGCAGCAAACUUUAUAAAGGAAAAACUCUAUGAUGCAAACACAAAAAGGUUGCAACAUAGUUAUCGAAAUGGCCCAGCAAAAGCACCAGGAUUUUUAGAUGAUUAUGCCUUCUUAAUCAAUGGCUUGCUGGAUCUCUAUGAAUAUGGUGGUAAGAUAGAGUGGCUUCUGUGGGCUAUCGAGCUGCAAGUCAUUCAGCCUUCUGGAAACUCGAUGGCAGCGAUCAACAUGGUCAGAUUGUCCAGUAUAUUUGAUGCUACAAAAUCUGAAGGCUACAAACGCAAUGUUGAACAUCUCCUGGCGGUGUUUGAGACUAGACUGAAAGAACUUGGCAUAGCAUUGCCGCUGAUGUGCUGCGCAGCAGACAUGCUCAGUGUCCCGUCAAGGAAGCAGGUAGUGCUGGUGGGGAAUAAAGCAUCUCCAGAGUUUCAAGACAUGGUCGCUGCUGCAUUCUCGUCAUACGACCCAAACAGAACCGUGAUCCAGAUAGAUGCCAGCAACAUGGAAGAGAUGGCAUUCUGGGAGAGCAACAAUGCGAACAUCGCGCAGAUGGCACGGAGCAGCCCAUCGGGGAAGCCAGCGGUGGCGCAUGUGUGCCAAGAGUUCAAGUGCAGUCCUCCGGUGACCUCUCCAGGCACGCUCCGUGAGCUGCUCAACAAGACGGUGGCUGCUGCGGGUUCAGCUGUUUGA
rnacentral:rRNA from 1 species